AUCUAUGGCCUUACCAUCCUGAAUGCAUCUGAUCUCCUUGGAUCCCACAAGUUAAGCAGGAUGGAUCCUGGUUAGUUGUUGAAUGGGAGAGUGUCUGGGAAUACUGGUUGAUGUAGGCU
rnacentral:rRNA from 1 species